CUUCCCGGUAACAUCGGCAAUGCUUAUCACAUUGGCCGCGCACCAGUCCGAAGACCUCACUAAAUCAUUCAAUCGGUAGUAGCGACGGGCGGUGUGUACAAAGGGCAGGGACGUAAUCAACGCGAGCUUAUGACUCGCGCUUACUGGGAAUUCCUCGUUCAUGGGGAAUAAUUGCAAGCCCCAAUCCCUAGCACGAAGGAGGUUCAGCGGGUUACCCGGGCCUUUCGGCCAGGGAAAACACGCUGAUUCCUUCAGUGUAGCGCGCGUGCGGCCCAGAACAUCUAAGGGCAUCACAGACCUCUAUCAAUCUGUCAAUCCUUCCGGUGUCCGGGCCUGGUGAGGUUUCCCGUGUU
rnacentral:misc_RNA from 1 species